rnacentral:tRNA from 1 species
AGCAGUGUGGCUUAAUGGAAAGAGCACAGGAUUGGGGUCAGGAGGCCCAGGUUCUAAUCCUGGCUUUUCCA